rnacentral:rRNA from 1 species
UACAGAGGGUGCAAGCGUUAAUCGGAUUUACUGGGCGUAAAGGGCGCGUAGGUGGUUAUUUAAGUGAGAUGUGAAAUCCCCGGGCUCAACCUGGGAACUGCAUCUUAUACUGGGUAACUGGAGUACAUUAGAGGGUAGUGGAAUUUCCGGUGUAGCGGUGAAAUGCGUAGAUAUCGGAAGGAACACCAGUGGCGAAGGCGGCUACCUGGAAUGAUACUGACACUGAGGCGCGAGAGCGUGGGGAGCAAACAGG